AAUUCCCUCCAAUAAAGCAGAAUAUUUCAUGUCUGUGUGGCCCUGGCUCCACAGACUUGCACGCUCAAGGACCUCCCUGCCCCCCACCCAGCCUGAUCCCACACCAGCCCCUCACUCUUGAUUCACUGUGUUCUCCCUGCCACUGGGCCCUUUGCAUAUGCUCCUCCCUCCUUGACUCACCCUGCAGACUUCCGGCUCAAAUUCACUUCCUCAAGGAAGCCCUCCCCAACCUCUUUGUCUGGGUCAAACACCCUGUUAACAAUUUCAGAGCACCCUGUCCUUUAUAGCACUUAUCAUGAUCACUUGGAUGAAGUCAGCCUCCUCCACUAUACUAUAUAGGCUCCUGAGAGCAGGAACCAUGUCAGUUUUGUUCACUCACCUAGCCCAGUGUCUGAUUCGUAGUAGGCAUUUGUUGAAGAGACAAAUGCAAAAUACGGCAGUGCUUGUGACCAACCUUCCUUAUAGACCGUCCCUGCAAAACCCUACCCCUGCCCUCCAGGCCAGUGGACUUAAUAUGCUCUCAACCAAGGAUGCCAAGAAAUCCUGUUACUCAGGCAGCCAAAAGAAGCCCUAAUCGAUGAGAUAUUGACAUCAUGUGUGGAGGAAGAGAACCUGGGGGCAAGCAGAAAUGGAGUUCUGGGACUACGGAAGAUUCUGGAAAUGGAAAGAAAAACAGAUUAGGAAUGAGGAGUCCUACAUUCUAGUGUGACCUCAGGCAAAUAUUAUUUUAGUCUUGCAACUCAUUAUGUGUCCUUGAGCAAAUCACAUCAUAAGCCUCUUUUCUGCAAAAUGGGGAUAAAUGAUAUCAGGUUGAACCACAUGAAAGCAAAGGGUCAGAUGUUGGCAAUUUCAUAUCAUUCUACCUGAAACCUACCACAUAAGAUGGUUUGCACCUGGAAGCUCGUCCAGUAGCUCUUCCAGCACCUGGACGCUCUGGCCUCAGAGAUCACAGCCCUCACAGAAUGGCGCAGGCCAGCCACGCAGCCUCUGUGCAGUCCGUGGCCUGGCCACUCCAAGCAAGCCCUGCCUACCUGCCCCCACUCCCACACAGGCAGUCUGAGGUCAGCUGUCACCAUGGUCACCAACUAAACCCACUCAAUAUCUUGGGUGCAUUCAUGCAAAAGGGUUUUAGAGGCUUGGAGCUCACCUGACCUCAUCACAGGCCACAAAAAGCAGACAAGACCAGGCCUGAUUUCCCUAGGGCAUGGUUGGAAAAGUGGAGGAUGAGCAAGAGAGAGGGACACAGCCUUGGCAGGGUGGGAUAAGAACCUGCGCUUGGUCUCCCUGGGGGAGGAAGUAGCAGCCUGCCAGCAUUCCUCAGGAGAGGUUGGAUUACUCCUCUAGGCUCUGGACAAGGAGACGGCCUGUCGGUGCUGGCUCUGACCCAAGAGACAGCUGCCCCACACCAAAUGCAGCAGCACACAGCAGCCGUAACCUCCCUCAGAAGAGCCUGCAUUAAAAGCAUGAGGCCCAGGUCCUCUGCUUCUGAAUCACCAGGUGACCUUGGGUAAGUCCCUGCCAGGCUCCUCAGUUUUUUCACCUGGAAAAUGGAGACCAUUUUAGCCCUGGCAGGGAAUGGGACAAGGUGUAAAAAAGAUGAGGGCUGGGCAGUCAUGAGUCUAUUCUUGGGCUAUUUCGCACCGAGGGGGGGGGAAACAGACAGUCUGUUUCACAAAGACACACACUCCGGACACACACUCCGGAACUUGCUGAUUCUACCAGGAAUUUUAUCCAUUAGUCCUCACUGCCAACUUAGCAUUUCCCCCAUCUCUCCCUGAGCUCCAGCAGCACCCAAGAUCAGCUCCUCUUUACUUCUUGCCUGGACUAGUGCAGUAGCCUCCUAACUCAUCUCCUCAUUCCCUGCCUCAAUCCAUCCUCCAAUAGAGGUAUGUGUUCUGCAGGAUAGAGUCCAGGCUUUGAAUCUAGCCCAGGCACUAUGCCCCAUGGUGCCCAUGGCCUUUCACCAUUCUGAGGUGCUCUUUCACCAUUCUGAGCCUCGGAGCCCCAAAAUGGGAGAUGACCCCCUGACCACCCCUUAGCCUUUCCCCGCCAACGCUGCUGCUCUUCCCCAAGCCCUUGGCUUAUACCUCUCAUUGUCAGGCAUAACAGCCUGACAGUCCCAGCAACCCCCAGUCUGCUCCAGGGCACACACUAAGCAUACAGGAACAUCACAAUCCCUCGCCCUGGAAGACCCAGAUCCUUUUAUCUGUCCCUCUCAGAUGACCCUUCGCAUUUCCACUGUGUAUUGACAGGUCUCUGGUCCUGCAUGGUGAAGCCUGACUCAUCUCCACCACCCCCAAAGCACUGUGUCUGGGGGGGAGGGGGGUGUGUAUAAUGUCCUGCCCUGCCCCCACACCCUGGGCCCUAAUUCAGGCUUCCUCAUCCCUCCCUGGUCUCUCUGACCCACCCACCCUGAUAACAUCUUCAGAUUAAUCUCAUUAGAUGAUAAGCUCCAUCCUGCCAUGCCUUGCUCAGAACUCACAAAGCUCCCUAGCCCCUUCAGCAUAAGAUCCAAACUCCAGAGCUUGACAUUCAAGCCCUUUCUGUGACACCUGGCUGAUGGGGGGAAGGGAUGGACAUGAA